rnacentral:rRNA from 1 species
GAAAGUAAGUAAGGGCGUAUGGGGGAUGCCUAGGCUCUUGGAGGCUAAGAAGGACGUGGUAAGCUGCGAAAAGCUGCGGGGAUUUGCAAACGAGACUCGAUCCGCAGAUAUCCGAAUGGGACAACCCGGCAGGUAGAAGACCUGUCACACCGCGAGGUGAGCUAACCCUCUGAACUGAAACAUCUAAGUAGGAGGAGGAAAAGAAAGAAACAUCGAUUUCCAAAGUAGCGGCGAGCGAAAUGGAAGAAGCCCAAACCGAUAUUGUUACGGCAAUAUCGGGGUUGUAGGACUGCAAUAUUCAAUUAACAAUGAACUGGAAUGGUCUGGAAAGUCCAUCCAUAGAGAGUGAAAGGCUCGUACAGGUAAGUUUGUUAUGCGAAAGCAGUAUCCUGAGUAUGGCGGGACACGAGGAAUCCUGUCAGAAUCAGCCGGGACCACCCGGUAAGGCUAAAUACUCCCAAGAGACCGAUAGUGGACCAGUACUGUGAAGGAAAGGUGAAAAGAACCCCGAACAGGGGAGUGAAAUAGAACCUGAAACCAUACGCUUACAACCGGUCGGAGCAGCUUCGUGCUGUGACGGCGUGCCUAUUGAAUAAUGAGCCUACGAGUUACUAAUCACUAGCGAGGUUAAGUGCAAGGAUGCACGGAGCCGAAGCGAAAGCGAGUCUGAACAGGGCGUUUAGUUAGUGGUUGUAGACGCGAAACCUUGCGAUCUACCCUUGAGCAGGUUGAAGGUUGGGUAAAACCAACUGGAGGACCGAACGAAUAAGCGUUGAAAAGCUUCUCGAUGACUUGAGGGUAGGGGUGAAAGGCUAAUCAAGCUGGGAAAUAGCUCGUACUCCCCGAAAUGCCUUUUGGGGCAGCGUUGUAAUAAAGAGUCUACUGGAGGUAGAGCUACUGAUUGGAUGCGGGGGCUUCACCGCCUACCAAAUCCUGACAAACUCCGAAUGCCAGUAGUAUGAUUUACAGCAGUGAGUGACUGGGUGCUAAUGUCCAGUCGCAAAAGAGGAACAACUCAGACCAGCAACUAAGGUCCCGAAGAAUAUGCUAAGUUGAUCUAACGAUGUUUUGUUGCAGAGACAGCUAGGAUGUUAGCUUGGAAGCAGCUAUUCAUUCAAAGAGUGCGUAACAGCUCACUAGUCGAGCGACAGAGCGUGGAUAAUAAACGGGCAUCAAGCAUAUCACCGAAGUUCUGGGCGCGAGAGCGCGGUAGGGGAGCAUUCCAUUCAGCGUCGAAGCAGUUUCGUGAGGAAUUGUGGAGCGUAUGGAAAAGCAAAUGUAGGCAUGAGUAACGAUAAUGCGGGAGAGUAACCCGCACACCGCAAGACCAAGGUUUCCUGAUCAACGCUAAUCGGAUCAGGGUUAGUCGGGUCCUAAGGGUAAGCCGAACGGCGAUCUCGAUGGAUAAUCGGUUAAUAUUCCGAUACUAACAUAUACCUCGAUGGAGAGACGAAGGAACGUAAGUGCCGCCACCUGACGGAAUAGGUGGUUAAAGGGCGUAGGUAUAGGGGCAGAUUAAGAGUUAGUCCUUGCUGAAACCUGACAGUACAGAGAGCCUACGGGCAAUUUGAUAGAGCACCCAAGUCGACUUCCGAGAAAAUCUUCUAAGUUAUAGUAUAUGUUACCCGUACCGUAAACCGACACAGGUGGUCGAGGAGAGUAUCCUAAGGUGCUCGAGUGAAUCACGGUUAAGGAACUAGGCAAAUUAACCCCGUAACUUCGGGAAAAGGGGUCCCUAUGAAAGUAGGGCGCAGCGAAGAGGUCCAGGCGACUGUUUAUCAAAAACACAGGGCUCUGCAAAUUCGAAAGAAGACGUAUAGGGCCUGACACCUGCCCGGUGCUGGAAGGUUAAGAGGGGAUGUCAUCGCAAGAGAAGCAUUGAAUCGAAGCCCCAGUAAACGGCGGCCGUAACUAUAACGGUCCUAAGGUAGCGAAAUUCCUUGUCGGGUAAGUUCCGACCUGCACGA